rnacentral:rRNA from 1 species
GGAGGGGGCUAGCGUUGUCCGAAGUUACUGGGCGUAAAGCGCGCGUAGGCGGGUUGGUAAGUCCGCUGUGAAAGCCCGGAGCUCAACUCCGGAGGGUCGGUGGAUACUGCCAGUCUUGAAGGUGCUAGGGGGAGAUGGAAUUACCGGUGUAGCGGUGAAAUGCGUAGAUAUCGGUAGGAACACCAGUGGCGAAGGCGGUCUCCUGGGGCAUUCUUGACGCUGAGGCGCGAAAGCUGGGGGAGCGAACGGGAUUAGAUACCCCGGUAGUCCCAGCCCUAAACGAUGAAUACUAGGUGUCGGGGGUAUCGACCCCCCCGGUGCCGCCGCUAACGCAGUAAGUAUUCCGCCUGGGGAGUACGGCCGCAAGGUUG